rnacentral:rRNA from 1 species
AACGAACGCUGGCGGCAUGCCUAACACAUGCAAGUCGAACGAGACCUUCGGGUCUAGUGGCGCACGGGUGCGUAACGCGUGGGAACCUGCCCUUAGGUUCGGAAUAACUCCCCGAAAGGGGUUCUAAUACCGGAUAAUUUCUUCGUACCAAAGAUUUAUCGCCUUUGGAUGGGCCCGCGUUGGAUUAGCUAGUUGGUAGGGUAAAAGCCUACCACGGCGACGAUCCAUAGCUGGUCUGAGAGGAUGAUCAGCCACACUGGGACUGAGACACGGCCCAGAAUCCUACGGGAGGAAGCAGUGGGGAAUAUAGGAAAAUGGGCGGAAGCCUGAUCCAGCAAUGCCGCGUUAGUGAUGAAGGCCUUAGGGUUGUAAAGCUCUUUUACCCGGGAUGAUAAUGACAGUACCGGGAGAAUAAGCUCCGGCAAACUCCGU